UACAGAGGUCUCGAGCGUUGUUCGGAUUCAUUGGGCGUAAAGGGUGCGUAGGUGGCGCCGUAAGUCGGGUGUGAAAUUUCGGAGCUUAACUCCGAAACUGCAUUCGAUACUGCGGUGCUUGAGGACUGGAGAGGAGACUGGAAUUCAUGGUGUAGCAGUGAAAUGCGUAGAGAUCAUGAGGAAGACCAGUGGCGAAGGCGGGUCUCUGGACAGUUCCUGACACUGAGGAGCGAAAGCGUGGGGAGCGAACAGG
rnacentral:rRNA from 1 species